AGUGAACGCUGGCGGUAGGCCUAACACAUGCAAGUCGAACGGCAGCACAGUAAGAGCUUGCUCUUACGGGUGGCGAGUGGCGGACGGGUGAGGAAUACAUCGGAAUCUACUUUUUCGUGGGGGAUAACGUAGGGAAACUUACGCUAAUACCGCAUACGACCUACGGGUGAAAGCAGUGGAUCUUCGGACCUUGCGCGAUUGAAUUAGCCGAUGUCGGAUUAGCUAGUUGGCGGGGUAAAGGCCCACCAAGGCGACGAUCCGUAGCUGGUCUGAGAGGAUGAUCAGCCACACUGGAACUGAGACACGGUCCAGACGCCUACGGGAGGCAGCAGUGGGGAAUAUUGGACAAUGGGCGCAAGCCUGAUCCAGCCAUACCGCGUGGGUGAAGAAGGCCUUCGGGUUGUAAAGCCCUUUUGUUGGGAAAGAAAAGCAGCAGGUUAAUACCCCGCUGUUCUGACGGUACCCAAAGAAUAAGCACCGGCUAACUUCGUG
rnacentral:rRNA from 1 species